rnacentral:rRNA from 1 species
AUACGUAGGUGACAAGCGUUAUCCGGAUUUACUGGGCGUAAAGGGCGUGUAGGCGGUCUUGCAAGUCAGAAGUGAAAUUCCUGAGCUCAACUCGGGCGCUGCUUCUGAAACUGCAGGACUUGUGUGCUGGAGGGGAUAGCGGAAUUCCUAGUGGAGCGGUAAAAUGCGCAGAUAUUAGGAAGAACACCGGUGGCGAAGGCGGCUAUCUGGACAGUAACUGACGCUGAGGCGCGAAAGCGUGGGGAGCAAACAGGAUUAGAUACCCUGGUAGUCCACGCCGUAAACGAUGAUUACUAGGUGUUGGUUGUCAUAGACAAUCGGUGCCGCAGCAAACGCAAUAAGUAAUCCACCUGGGGAGUACGUUCGCAAGAAUGAAACUCAAAUGAAUUGACGGGG